GGGGGAGAAGAAAGAAAUCUUCCUUUUGCAAAAGGAGGCAUAAUGUGGCUUAGAGGUUGCCAAAGCAAAAGGUUUUGCUUUAUUUUGUUUUUGCAACCGAGGCGUUCAGGGUGGGGCUGGCGCGAGGGAAGGGUGGAUGGGGAGAAGGUCACUGUCUUAGCACAUGGCGAGAUUUAUUUACUCCUUUGGAUUAUUUCGGUUUCUCGCCGAAUGGCUUUGAUCCUGGAUUCCUAAAAAUACCUUUGAAAGAUUGAAAGACUCGCCCCGCCCCCCCAACCUCCACACCGUCUUACUGCCUAACUCCUCGGAACCCUCGGAGGUUGCGCAUAAACAAUUUUUUCUUCCAGAACGGUCCCCCUCUCCGCCUUGGGGGAGCCGGGAGGAUGUGCAGCCCCAGUCCUCCUGCUCGGCAGAGCCUAGCGCGAUUCGCGCCCUCAUUACCACUACAAAGCGCGGGCCAGACCAAUCCCCUUUCUAAUGCACCAUUUUCGACUGAGAGUAUCAAGAGGCCAGAAACUUCCAAGUCAGCUUGCAGACGCAGACGCCUCCUGGGGUCCUGGCUUUAAAAACCAGAUGCCAACAUUCCCGGACAGUUUAUGGCAUCCGGAUCCCUCAAGGGUGCUCAUCAGCAGUUGAGAGUGUUAGUAGCAAUUAUUUAUCAUCUGUUCUGGAGAGGAGUUCCUGAACAUAAAUGUCCUCUGCCGGCCCUAAAGCUGGGGGCGGAGGCUGUGUGUUGGGUGGGGGUUGGGGGGCCGAAUGUUCCCGGUCCUGUUAUCUGGUUUAGCAGCAUUUGUUGUGGUUUUCGAGGAAACGGCAUCUGGAUUACAUAAGGAUUCAAGUUUUUGCUGUACUUGUUUAUUUAAUACCUUGGCAAGAGGGAGCCCUUACCCUGAAACCAGAUAACCGAUUUUGGGUUUAAAACAGCCUUAGAUGAAGGGCCACUCGAGGGGAAGAAAAUGAGCAAAGCCACAAAAAGCAAACAAGGGAAUGUUUAUUUUUCUCUUUUUGGAUAUUUUUGAAGACCUGCCUAACCUCUUACACUUCUUGUCGCAUACAGCUAAUAAAUGGCAUUAACAAAGCGUUUCAGCGACUACCACGGCUUAACAGUGGCUCCUCCCCUGCCCUGCCACCAUUCAGGCUGUAAUUCUUUCCAGGAUUCCCGCACCAUCCUGUGUGCCCAGAGCUCUCUAGAGCACCAGGUAGAACUCCGUGCUAAAUCCAAUUGCUUGCAAUCUUCUGAUCCCCUUUUAGGGAGAUCACUUUUCAGCUUGGUUCAAAGAAAGCAAAGUUUGGGAAGUUUGGCGGAGGGGCCGACUUAACUACGGGCACUGCAAAUAUUUUGUUACAAAUGCUGUGAAGUGCCCCGAUUUGUGGCUGCGUUAGCUUUCACAAAGGAUUUUCCUGUGUCUUUUGUUCCGAUCACCAAAUUAAAAAAGAAAAUUAACUUGAGUGAGAGAUAAGGUCUUGGAAAACAAUCUUGGGCCGCCCGCGAGCUGGCGGGAGCGGGGCUGGCGUCGCCUUGUCUGCGCCGCCCCGAGGCGCGAGUCUUGGGGUCCGGCCACCGCAGGGAGCCUAGGUCAUGCAGGGACCCCCCCCUCCAUCCGCUGUGCACCCCCGCGCCACAGCGCAGCAGCACCCAGGCCACCCCCCCUCUGCCCACCAGCGUCCGUGGGAAUCCGCCCCAGCCAGCGACAAGGGCGGGCUUGUCCGGAAUCAAACUGCAUCUUAAUAUUAUAAUGCGGCACCAAAAGCAAAACCCGAGGCCCCGGCUUGCAGUCCCUAACAAUAAACACAUUGUGUGCGCUUUUUCUUUUUUGGCUCAAGCCACGUUCGCGCGCCGGCCCCUCCGCAGCGAGCCAAGUCCAUGACUUCAGUGAGGAGGAACCCGCCUGCCUCGCACCACGUGCGCUCCCAGCUGGGGCAGCCGCCCUGUGAGCCCUGUCCCGGUCCCUGGGACGGGCUAGGGCCUGGCCGGGACGUACUUGUCCUGAGCACAGGACAAGGGCUUUGGGGCACAGCCCUUUCUCGGCCGGGGAGGCAGGCGAACCAAUCGCCCGGGCACUGGUGUUACCCAGGCGGCGCCAGUGCGAGUUGGCUGGUGGACAGAUUUUUCAAUAGUUUGAACUCCUUCUUCCCCUUGCCGCAUCUUUAAGGCGUUUACUCCCAGAUUCAGCCCUCUCCUCAUAAUAAUGACAGUUUGCAGACUUCUCCUUUCCAGUUAGAGUGCGUGCGCGGGUCCUGCAAGACCCCAGCCGCGCGUCACCGCAAACCAUUCUGCGGGAGGGGCAGGACCUAAGGCUGCAUCUCCAGGAGGGAACGUGGAGACACCGCGGGCGGAGGGGACCUGGAGGAGUUCCUGGAGGAGCAGUCCUAGGCACGGGGCGAAGGAUUUGCGCUCUAGCUGGUGGAGCGCACAUCGCCCUGGUUAGCUCUGCGGUGGGUCCUGGGCUCUUCCCGGCCUCUUCCUGCCUCCGCUGACAUCAGGGCCUCUCUCCUGUUUAGUCCUAGGCCUGCCCUUCAUCAGGACUCCGCAGAAAAGGAUGGGUAAAUUAAGGCAUACAUUUAAUUUUAACCAUCAUGCCUGACUUUCUAGGAUUCUGUGUGAAGAAUACAGAGACAGACGUUCCAUUUCAAAGAAAAAAGAGCAACACGAAGGCCCUCUUUAAGGAGAGAGUAAACAUUCACUUUAGGUAAAAAAUAGUCUUUUACACGCCUGUGCACGGCACACCUCUUUUGCUGUUCACCUUGAGCCCAAGAGUUUGGAAAGGCUGCCCCCAUUUCAGAGAGGAAGAAACGCAGGCACACGUGAAUGACAGACUCCUCUGUGGUGGCCUAGACUCCAGCCAACACUUCCUAGGACAGCCUGCCAUUGUGCAAAGUCACCAUGUAACAAAUGCAGACAUCUCUGAGAUCACCAUGCAGUGAGGAAGUCUAAGCUGGUGGCAUGAAGAGGCCACAUGGAAAGGGCUAAAAAAGGGGCCAGCCUCAGUCAUCCUAGCUGAGCACCUGGCUGGGAAUAAAAGAGGACUCCGUGGAUGUCCAACCCAGUAAGAUAACCUCAGCCCCAGCCACCAACUGACCACGCACACAAGACAUCGUGAGGCUGCCUGCUGGAGCCUGGCCAGUGGGACUGUAGAGUAACUCAUUGUCGUGCAGGAACUCCUGGGAUGGUGUCGCCCAGUGACACAAUCCCAGUGUGGCCAUUUCUGAUCCUGAGAAAGCAGUCAGGAGUGGGUGGAUGCAGUUACAGUUCAUCAAGUCCUGCUAGUUCAAGUCAUGAGUCCUGAAUUCUCCAGGCGGAACCACUAAAGAAAUGCAGAAGCAGGCAAUCCUCGCAAUAAAGUGGAAUGAGGCCAGCAAACUGCCAGUGUGAAGGAUGCCCAGGUAACCUGCCCACGCCAGAACGGCCAGGAGAUGGUGGAACCAGAAUCUAAGCCCACGCCCAUCUGACUUCAAAGUCUGUGCUCCUGAUGUUUGCACUGAGUCACCUCCUAAGACUUGCUGAAACUGGAUCACAUCCAUUUACCUAUCUCUGAGAGAAAUGCAAGCUUUAAAAAAGGAAGUAUUUACUAUGGAUAUUUUACAAUAGUUCCAAAACAUGAAAGUUUUAAAUAAGAUAUUCUUAACCAUCCGCACCACAUCUUCAGGUUCCCUUACAGCCACUGUAUUUUGACGAUUGCCCAUUAGAAAAAAAGACUAUGCUUUCUGUAGGUUUUAAAGGAAUGGUGGUGAAAUAGGGAGCAUUCCCUGAGCAGAUCCUGCCUGUGGGCACACCUCUGAGCAUUGGAUCAGGCGAGAAGAGCCCAUGUGUUGGCUGCUUUGGGAUCCCAGCACUGCCAAUGGCAGGUGGGCUGUGACCCAGGGAGAGAACCUAGCCUUUUGCAUUCUCUUGCCCCAUUUGAAAAUGGAGACGAUAGUGGCGCCCCACUCAGUGUUAUUUUGAGGAUUUGAAUGUAUCUCAGACGUAGUACCUGGAAAAAUAUAAGUGCUCAGUAAAUACGGUUGCCAGAUAAAAUGCAGGAAACCUAUUUAAAUUUAAGUUUUGGCUGGACAAUGAAUAGAAAAAUUUUUCUUAGUAUGAGUAUGUCCUUAUAUUUCAUCUGCUAAAUUUAGCAACCUCCUCAGUAAAUGAUCACUACAAUUGCAAAAACGCCUUAUGACAGAUAUAGUAAAUCUGUAAAGAAAUAGGAACUUGCAUUUAUUUUUACUAAGCUCUGACUGGUUAAGAUAACUGGGCAAGAGAAGGUAUCUUCGACUAAACUUGCAGCAUAUAGAGUAUAGAGAUUCAAAUUUGAAGUCCUAUAGGACUAGAAUGGCCAGAGGUGAACUGUAGCGAGCUUAUCUAAAGAGGACCAAUUUCAAAAGUUCCUCAGAGACUUAAAUGGGCCCACAGACCCCUCCUGUGUCUUUGCAUAAGCCAGCUCGUUAUAUCAGUUAUAAGUUGAUUUCCAGAGAAAUGUACCCUGGAGGUCCCUCUCCCACUUGAAAUAGGACUGGCCAAUCCAGAUGUCCCCCAGGUGAUGUUGGCUCAAAUGGAGCUCCAUAAAUUGGAGAAUCUAUUCAAGAAAACAAGCAAAAGUAUUUGUGACUGAGUUAGCUAAUGCCAGCUGGUAUCUUGAACAAACCCAGAUCUCUAACAUGCUAGUUUAUUUCGUAGUGCAAAGUGUGUGUUACUGAUGGGCAGACAGCUCUCAUUCAAGCAGUGACAGAUGUAAGCUCUUCCCAUUUUUGUGGCCCCAUUGUAUUCAGCGUGUGGCUUCCAAGUUGCCUGGGAUCAUCUCCACUGAGACUAAGGAAGAGGAAAGAGCUUGGACAACUGCACUUGGCUGGUUUUUAUGGAUCAGGCAAGGAAUUGACUCCAACACAUUCGCUCACAUUCCAUUGGUUAGAACUGGGUUUCUCAACUAUUAGUACAGGGUGAGUGUAGGGUUUUGGCACCAUGGGCAUUUGAGCUGGCCAAAGGCUAAUCAGAGUUAGAACAAAGCCACAAAGCCUGUGAAUGGUGUUUAUUGUUGUGAGGGGCUGUCUUGUGCAUUGUGGAAUGUUCAGCAGGAUGCUCUCUGGCCUCAGAGACUCACUAGAUUCCCAUAGAACUCUCCUCUCUCCUCCAGUUGUGACAACCACAGUUGCCUCCUCUCCAGACAUUGGAGGAGGAUGUCCCCGGGAGGCAAAAUUGUCCUGGAUGAGAACCACUGUGUUAGAACUCGGUCACAUGGCCACACCUAACUGCAAGGGAGGGGGCUGGAAGAUCUAGACGAGUAGUAUGCCAGGAAGAAAAUAAAACUGAUUUAGAGGCUGCUGGCCAGUCGCUUUCAGUGACCUUCAGCAUACUUAUUCCUCUGCAGCUGUCAGGACACUCAUGACUGUUUCUGAGAUGUUUCCUGUGUGAGGGGACAUAGUGACUAUUGGAGGGGUGACAUGUUGGACUUGGGUAGGGUGAAGAGGAUUGGAAACCACCGUCAUGUUUGGCAGCAUUGAAUGUUUAUGACUAUUUGAAUAGUUGUGACAGGGUACAGUGAAGGAGGAAAUAACCAUUUUUGAAUACCCUUUUACAAUUUGCAAAGCACUUUUAAAGGUAAGAGUGAGUUCCUAGACCAUAUUAGGGUGAGAAUGGACAUUGUUGGCUGCCAUAUCAUUGGGCAGGGGCUUUGAGAUUUUUGUCUUCAAAAGGCAGAUUAGAUUUGGAGUAGAAGGAGAAAUGUAAAGACCUGUAUCUGAGUGUGUUUGCAGAGGGGAAUUGUCAUUUGGAAGCACAAGAAAGGGAAUGGCCCAUUGGCACAUAUGGUACAUUGUGUUUUCAUAUAAUUAUACCUGAAUGAAAGCAAGAGGAAACGUGUAGGAAGCUGUUUACAUAGUCCUUUUAAUAAUGUUUACAUGAGUUAAUGAACAUGCAAACGUAUCUGAUGAAAACAUGUCAGUAGUGAAACAGCCUUGUGAAGAAUCAAAUCUUACCUCAGGCUGGAAAAAAGGACUGGUUUUCCAAGCUCACAAAUUGCAGCCAGUGUGAAUAGUAGCACAAAUGACUUUGAGCUUUAAGACAUCCAUCCAUCCAUCUAUCCAUCCCCUCAUCCAUCCAUCCCCUCAUCCAUCCACCCACCCAUCCAUCCAUCCAUCCCUUCAUCCAUCACUCCACCCAGCCAUCCGUCCCUUCAUCAAUCCAUCCAUCCCUUUAUCCAUCCAUCCCUUCAUCCAUCCAUCCAUCCAUCCUUCCUUCCUUCCAUUCAUCCCUUCAUCCAUCUGUCCAUCCAUCCAUCCACUCAUUCAUCCCUUCAUCCAUCCAUCCACCCAUCCAUCCAUCCAUUCCUUCAUCAACUCAUCCCUUCAUCCAUCGUCUACCAUUCAUUUGCCCCUUCAUCCAUCCAUUCAUUUAUCCAUCCAUCCAUCCAUCCAUUUACUUCCAUCCAUCCCUUUAUCCAUCCAUUCACCCAUUCAUCCCUUUAUCCAUCUAUCCAUUCCUCCAUCCAUCCAUCCAUCCAUCCAUCCAUUUACUCUUCAUCCCUUCAUCCAUUUUUCCAUCCAUUCAUCCAUUCAUCUUUUCAUCCAUCCAUCCAUUGCUCCUCCAUCCAUCCAUUGCUCCAUCCAACCAUCCAUCCAUCCAUUCGUCCCUUCAUCCAUCCAUUCAUCCCAUCAUCCAUCGAUCACUUCAUCCAUCCAUCCAUCCUUCCAUCCAUUCUUCCAUUCAUCCAUCCAUGUGUUCAGCAAGUAUUUACUGAAUGCCUAUUAUGUGCCAAGCACUCUCCUCAGAACUUAGGAAAUACCAGGAAACAAAAUCAACAACAAUCCCUCACCACCUGGAUAUUACAUUUUGAUGGGAAGACGCAAAGAAAUAAAAUUGGUGAGUGAAUCACAUAGGUUAUUAGAAGGUGAUAAAGGUGUAGGUGAUAAAGGAGAAGUGCCAGGAGCAAGGAUUGGGUACAGUUGUGAAUAAGGUGGCUCCAAUAGGUUGCACUGAGAAGGUGACAUUUGCACAGAGACUUGAAGAAAGCAAGGAGAGAACAUGACUGUACCUGGGGAACAGCAUUUGUGGAAGAGGGAACAGCCAGUGUAAAAGUUCCAAGGCAUGAGUGCCUGGUACAUACACGGAACAUCGAGGCCAGGGUGGCAGAAACGCGGUGAGUCCAGGAAGGGAAUAGGAAAUAAGUGUAGGAAGGUGUACAGUGGGGUGGUGUGGGGGUGGAAUUGUGGCAGCCAGAUGGUGUUGGCAUAAGGCCUCUUGGCCCUUGUUAGGACUUGGUUUACCAUGGCGCAACACAUCCAUGAGAUUGGCAAAAAUUAAAAAGUCUGACUGACAACAGAAAAUCUGGUAAUCUGGUGAGGAUGUGGAGCAGUGGGAAUUCUCCAAUACUGCCAGGGGGCAUGGGCAUCAAUCCCACCACACUGGAAUGCAAAGGGGCAUUCUGAGUAGAACUGAAGAUGUGCCCAUCCUUGACCCCACAGUUCCAGCCAUGGGCAUGCGAAUGAAUGUGCACACGUGUUGACCACGGCAUUUGUUUGUAAUUAUGAAAACAUCUAAGUUUCCAUCUAUGGGAGAGGGGAUAAUGUGGGAGUGCCCUACAGUGGAGUUCUAGAGAGCAGUAAAAAUAAAUGGACUAGAGCUGCACACGUCAAAAUGGAUGAAGAUAAAAGACAUAAGGAUGGGAGAAGACCACCUGGCCACAGAAGUAUAUGUCCAAUAUGAUGCUGGUGUAUCCAGAGUGUUCAAACAAACAACACAACACUACUCAUUGUUUCCAACGUGAGUAUGAAAGUAUGGAGCAGUGCGGAGGGCCAGGAGUGCUGAAUCCAGAUGGUUACUUCUCCAGGCGGGGGCCGAGGACCAGGGCUGGAGGUUUACUCCAGGAGCUUCAGUGGUGCAUGCUGAAUGUGCUGUUUCUUGGGCUGGGGGACAGAGAUGUGCAUGCUGUUAUACACUCUAUAUUGAAAUGAUUAUAUAACAAUAUACUAAUUUAUCAUGUAAUAAAUUUGACCAGAA